UGGGCUUCGCUAUCUUAGCCAGUCCACCUCCCAGCCACCCACACACGCACACGCAUGCACCCUUGGGUCACCGCAGGAGAGAUUCGGCAGGAAUCGCAGCAGGACUGAAAGCCCAAUCCCCCUAGGCUCCUAUGGGGCAGAGAACAAUGCAGCCCAGGAGUAGCUUGUGAGCUGAUUCUCACUGGGGUCCCCACAGGUGCACGCAAAGAGCAAAGAGUGACGUUUCCUGCCGGCUUUGCUGCAGUCUCAGCUGUGACUUCUUUCCCAUGCUCUGGCCUUCCGCCCUUCACCUCCCUCCACUGUGGGCAUCCAGAAGGGACCUGAGCUCCUCACACUUGGCUUCAUCAUCCGCGG
rnacentral:lncRNA from 1 species